rnacentral:rRNA from 1 species
AGCGAACGCUGGCGGCAGGCCUAACACAUGCAAGUCGAACGAACCUUUCGGGGUUAGUGGCGGGCGGGUGAGUAACACGUGGGAACGUGCCUUUAGGUUCGGAAUAACUCAGGGAAACUUGUGCUAAUACCGAAUGUGCCCUUCGGGGGAAAGAUUUAUCGCCUUUAGAGCGGCCCGCGUCUGAUUAGCUAGUUGGUUGAGGUAAUGGCUCACCAAGGCGACGAUCAGUAGCUGGUCUGAGAGGAUGAUCAGCCACAUUGGGACUGAGACACGGCCCAAACUCCUACGGGAGGCAGCAGUGGGGAAUAUUGCGCAAUGGGCGAAAGCCUGACGCAGCCAUGCCGCGUGAAUGAUGAAGGUCUUAGGAUUGUAAAAUUCUUUCACCGGGGACGAUAAUGACGGUACCCGGAGAAGAAGCCCCGGCUAACUUCGUG